rnacentral:rRNA from 1 species
CAGUAGCCACGGGAAUACGGAGGGUGCAAGCGUUAAUCGGAAUUACUGGGCGUAAAGCGCACGCAGGCGGUCUGUCAAGUCGGAUGUGAAACCCCCGGGCUCAACCUGGGAACUGCAUUCGAAACUGGCAGGCUAGAGUCUUGUAGAGGGGGGUAGAAUUCCAGGUGUAGCGGUGAAAUGCGUAGAGAUCUGGAGGAAUACCGGUGGCGAAGGCGGCCCCCUGGACAAAGACUGACGCUCAGGUGCGAAAGCGUGGGGAGCAAACAGGAUUAGAUACCCCAGUAGUCCCUGUCUCUUAUAA